rnacentral:rRNA from 1 species
GCAGUCGAGCGAACAGACGAGGAGCUUGCUCCUCUGACGUUAGCGGCGGACGGGUGAGUAACACGUGGAUAACCUACCUAUAAGACUGGGAUAACUUCGGGAAACCGGAGCUAAUACCGGAUAACAUGUUGAACCGCAUGGUUCAACAGUGAAAGACGGUCUUGCUGUCGCUUAUAGAUGGAUCCGCGCCGCAUUAGCUAGUUGGUAAGGUAACGGCUUACCAAGGCAACGAUGCGUAGCCGACCUGAGAGGGUGAUCGGCCACACUGGAACUGAGACACGGUCCAGACUCCUACGGGAGGCAGCAGUAGGGAAUCUUCCGCAAUGGGCGAAAGCCUGACGGAGCAACGCCGCGUGAGUGAAGAAGGUCUUCGGAUCGUAAAACUCUGUUAUUAGGGAAGAACAAAUGUGUAAGUAACUAUGCACGUCUUGACGGUACCUAAUCAGAAAGCCACGGCUAACUACGUGCCAGCAGCCGCGGUAAUACGUAGGUGGCAAGCGUUAUCCGGAAUUAUUGGGCGUAAAGCGCGCGUAGGCGGUUUUUUAAGUCUGAUGUGAAAGCCCACGGCUCAACCGUGGAGGGUCAUUGGAAACUGGAAAACUUGAGUGCAGAAGAGGAAAGUGGAAUUCCAUGUGUAGCGGUGAAAUGCGCAGAGAUAUGGAGGAACACCAGUGGCGAAGGCGACUUUCUGGUCUGUAACUGACGCUGAUGUGCGAAAGCGUGGGGAUCAAACAGGAUUAGAUACCCUGGUAGUCCACGCCGUAAACGAUGAGUGCUAAGUGUUAGGGGGUUUCCGCCCCUUAGUGCUGCAGCUAACGCAUUAAGCACUCCGCCUGGGGAGUACGACCGCAAGGUUGAAACUCAAAGGAAUUGACGGGGACCCGCACAAGCGG